rnacentral:lncRNA from 1 species
CAGAAAACUGGGCAUGGUAAAAACAACUUCCUGUCCCUGAAGACAUGCUGGGGCCUCGCUCUUCUGUUGGUCUCCCUGCCUCCCAUCUUCUCCUCAUUAAAUCACCCUCUGCUCUUGCUCCUAAAGUGGAUCUGAUCACUCUCAUCCCUGCUACAUCAACACCAUUGCUGGCACACAGCCAGUCAAUGGACCAGGAUCCAAACUCAGGCCACCAACUCCUAAAACAGUGCUCUGAACCAUGGAGCUGUAUGGCAGUUGAGUGAGUACCAGUGUAGAAAGAUGGCCAAGGUAUGUUGUUGAGUUUUUUUAAAAAAUGGGAGGCCAGGCACAGUGGCUCACAUCUGUAAUCCUAGCACUUUGGGAGGCUGAGGCGGGCAGAUCACCUGAGGUCAGGAGUUCGAGACUAGCCUGGCCAACAUGGUGAAAUCCCAUCUCUACUAAAAAUUCAAAAAUUAGCCAGGUGUGUUGGCACGUGCCUGUAGUCCCAGCUACAUGACAGGCUGAGGCAGAAGAACUGCUUGAACCCAGGAGGCAGAGGUUGCAGUGAGCCAAGAUCUCACCACUGCACUCCAGCCAGGGUGACAGAGCAAGACUCCGUCUUUAAAUAAAUAAAUAAGUAAAUGGGGCUGGCCAUGGUGGCUUAGCCUUGUAAUAUCUGGAAAUUUGGGAGGCUGACGCAGGAUGACUGCUUUAUCCUGGGAGGUAGAGGUUGCAAUGAGCUGUGAUUGUGCUACUGCACUCCAGCCUGGGUGGCAGAGCGAGACUUUGUCUCAAAAAGAAAAAAAAAAAAAAGUGGGAAAAUCAAAUAGCAUGGAUGGUAUAAUCCCAUUUAUGUGAAAAUAACCAUUAAAAAUGUUAAAAAGGCACCCACUCAGAGGUCAUUUAUAUGGUAACCCCAAACAGCAGGAACUGCCCUAAGUUCCUGCUGUGGUAAACCCCACGCAUUGAAACUGCCCUAAGUCUCAUCACUGGAACGAAUGAAGGAAGACUGAAGGGAUGUGCUGCAGAGUCUGGCUGGGGGCAGGGUUGGGGUGGGCUGGCCAAGGAUGGUGGUCUUUAGUCGUUUAUAAAUGUCAGCAAUAACCACUUUAAGACACUGAACUGUUACUGUGAGAAAAAACCAGACUCACCCCAUGCCACCAUCCACCCAAUGGAAAGAACACUCAGAAGGCAUUCCAGAAGACUUCAGGGUGGCCCUGUCUUCCUGUCACGUAUCACGCUCUCAGGGACUUCAGAGGUAACUAAACUUGGGAGAUACCACUCACUGGGAACGAGACAGGUCCAGGAUAUUCUGGAUCAAUGAUCUCUUCUUGGAUAUAAUGAAAUAUGCCAUUUUUAGUCCGGAUGGUUAUCUACCCAUCUACUCACAAUAAUUAUCUCUGGGGCAGUGGGAUUAUGAAAGGACUUUUGUUUUCUUUGUAUCAUUUGAUUUUUUGUUUUUUUUCUUUUAGAGACAGGGUCUUGCUCUGUCACCCAGGCUGGAGUGCAGUGGCAUAAUCAUCGCUUAUGGUAGCCUUGUCAUUUGAAUUUUUUAUAUCAAUUAUGCAUUAUCAGGAAAAUAAGUAUCAUAAUUUUUUAAAACGUAAACUUUGUUUCAUUCCUGAUACAUCAACAGAGACAAUAUAAUUUUUUUUUUUUUUUUUGAGAUGGAGUUUCACUCUGCCCCUGCAGUACAGUGGCUCCAUCUCGGCUCCUGUAACUUCUGCCUCCUAGGUUCAAGUGAUUCUCCUGCCUCGGCCUCCUGAGUAGCUGGGAUUACAGGUGUGUGCCACUACACCUGGCUAAUUUUUAUAUUUUUAGUAGAGAUGGGGUUUCACCAUGUUGGUCAGGCUGGUCUCGAACCCCUGAUCUUAAGCGACCCUUCACCUCCCAAAGUGCUGGUAUUACAGAUGUGAGCCACAGCGCCCAGCAAGAGACAAUACCACUUAAACGGUGAACAUAUCAUCCAUUGCAGCAUACAACCAUGUGCCCAGGAAAGCCAACAUAACUAAGACUUGCCACUUUGGCAGAACUCUCUGGAAAGCGGUGUCUUCCUUUCACCAGAGAUGUAAAACAGGUAUGAUGGUUUCCCCUCAAACUUAAGGAGAAUCCCGUAUCUUUAUUUCUGCCCUCAAGCCCCAUGCAAUCUGACCCAUGGCUGCUUCUCUGACCUCUCCUCUACUUAAGUAUCACCUCAUCAAGGGGAAGCCCCUGCACCCUCCAUAUAAAAUAGCAGCCCCUGGCCAUUUUUCUCUAUCCCCUUCCUAUUUUAUUUUUCUUAUCAGCCCUGUUGUCUCCUGACACAUUAUAUACUUGUUUCUCUUCUGCCUUAUCCUCAGUGUCCGGAAUGGUACCCAGGAUGGUGGUACACUGGAGCACACACACCUAAGUAAGGGGACAGCUGUUCCUCAGCUCUGGUCACUGUUAGUGUAUAAGAAUGUGGAACCCUUGCCUGGGCAUGGUGGCUCACGCCUGUAAUCCCAGCACUUUGGGAGGGUGAGGCGGGCAAAUCACCUGAGGUCAGGAGUUCGAGACCAGUCUGGCCAACAUGGUGAAACCCCAUCUCUACUAAAAAUACAAAAAUUAGUGGGGCGUACUGGUUGGCGCCUGUAAUCUCAACUACUCGGGAGGCAGAGGCUGGAGAAUCGCUUGAACCCUGGAGGCAGAGGUUGCAGUGAGCCGAGAUCGCACCACUGCACUCUGGCCUGGGUGACAAGAGUGAGACAACGUCUCAAAAUAAAUAAAUAAAUAAAAAUGUCAGCUAGUAAUUCACAUCUUUUAAAAGCAAUGUACAAGUCAACGGGGUGGAGGGCAACAGAACAUGUCUGCAGCAAGCCAGUCUGUGAACUCAGAGAAGCUAUGAAAUUGAACUUCACGGAAGAUGUGAUUAAAGGCGAGAGGCUGGUGUGUUUCAACAGUGAAGGUCAGAUGAAAAGUACAUAUGCGGACAUGCAUUUCCUCUUGCUCCAUUUCAGGUUGCGCUUGCAAACAGUGUGAGGUGGCUGAGUAUAUUUAGCCACGUGCCUUUUUUUUUUUUCCCUGUUCAGAUUGCAUCUCUUAAGACUUCUGCCUUUGCUGAAAACUGGCAUUGCCAUUUUACUCUUACACUUUGCAGGAAAAUAACUCCAAGAGGAAAUUGACUGUGAAGCCUUAUGGAGUGCCCCCUCAAGAUGGGGAAAAAAAAGAAAAGAGAGAAAUAUAAUCAAGCACUCAGAGUGGAGAAAAUUAAGUGCUGGCGGAGCAGCAGCCAUGCCUAUGCGGACAAAUAAGGAAGUACAAGCAUGAAAGCAAAAUCGGAGGAACAUUUCCUGGACAGCAUUCCCAUCUCCAGUAAGAGUCCUUCUCACUUCAUAAAAGCGAUACGUAGAAGCAAGACUCUGCCUUUGCGGUGACGUCACUGAAUAUGCAGCCGGGGCCCAGAGUUGAACAAAUGCCACUCUGGCAAGCGGGGCAGGGUCUGGCUUAGCAACUUGACUUUGACCUACCACCUCUGGAUAAUUUUGCUUCUACAUAACUAUGGAGAUGAUGUACUCAUUCUAUUUAUAAAAAUAAUGCCCUUGGAGUAAACCCCAACCAUCCACUCCUACCUCCACCCUGGCCCAGGCCUGUUCUGCCCCAGUGCACCUAAUCUUCCUUCAUUCUUUAUCCCCCUUGUUCACACUGUGCCUGCAUCCUGCUCCUUGAACAAGCCUGGCCUCAUGCCGUUGCACGCUUGCUGCUUCCUCUAUCUGGAAUGCCUUUCUCAUUGCUCCUUGCCAAGCCACUCCUUUUUUUUUUUAGACACAGUUUCACUCUGUCGCCCAGGCUGGAAUGCAGUGGUGCAGUCUUGGCUCACUGCAACCUCUGCCUCCCGGGUUCAAGAGGUUCUCCUGUCUCAGCCUCCCAAGCAGCUGGGAUUAUAGGCGCACACCACCACGCCCAGCUAAUUUUUGUAUUACAAGUAAAGAUGGGGUUUCAACAUGGCCAGGCUGGUCUUGAACUCCUGAUCUCAGGUGAUCUGCCCACCUUGGCCUCCCAAAGUGCUAGGAUUACAGGCGUGAGCCACAGCGCCUGGCCCCAGGUCACUCCUAAUCCAUCAGGUUUCAACUGAAAUGUCAUGCUGGAAAGAGGCCUUCCUUCUCUCUCUAUCCUGGCUAACACUGCCUUCUCUCCCACACCAUCUUGCUAUCCCAUCUUUCUCUUCUGUUUUCUUCAGAGAACUUACUGAUACCUGAAAUGAUCUCAUCGUUUAUUUCUUCCUUUUUUCUUCAUUGUCUGUCUCCCCUUUGGAGCACAGGUUGCUUAAGAACAGGCACCUCACUGGGUGUGACCCAUGCCUGUAAUCCCAGCUACUCAGGAAGCUGGGGUGAGAGGAUGGCUUGAGCCCAGGAGUUCAAGGCUGCAGUGAGCUAUGAUUGUACCAAUGCACUCCAGCCUGGGUAACAGAGCACAAUUCCGUCUUUAAAAAAUAAUACAAAAAUAAAAAAGUAUAGGCACCUCUUCAGUUUUGUUCAUUUCUGAAUCUCUGGUGCCUGGGACAGAGCCUGAUGGUCAGUGAGAGGUGCUUAACAAAUGCUUGUGGAAGGAAGGACUGGGAUAUACUUUUGCAGUUCAAAGGACUUCAGGAAUGAAAUGGCAAUCUGAGGAUGGGGAGUAAAAUGUCCUGUUGUCAACCCUGUAAGCUGCUAAACC